GCGAAAAGAUCCUCAAAAACACCAAUAAUCAAUGUAGGAGAAAGAAAAGAAAUACAAACCAAAAACCGUGUUAUGACCACCGAUCCUCUACUGCGAAAAUGGCCAUUAGUCCCACACAAAGGUGUGAGGUCAUGGUCAUUACCAUCACGAGUCGGCCACGAGCUUUGUGGUGACAAACACCCCCACCUUUUUAUAAUUCUUCUUGUUUGAUGGCCUCAAUGUAGAAGAAAGAGCACCAUUAGAAUGGAAGCCCAUGUUGAAGAUGAGGGAGUUCCAGUUCUCCCUCAUAGUAUCAUCUUAAUUUGUUUGCCUGCAAUCUAUUUUUUGCUUAGGAUAAAUCAAAAAAUAGAUUGCGGGCAAACAGAGAAUGAAGAUGAUACUUUGAGGGGCGAACUGGAACUUCCUCUUCUACAACAGGGGCUUCUAUCUCUAGUGGUGCUCUUUCUCCUACAUUGGCAGCCAUCAAACCAGAUGAUUUCUAAAAAGGUGGGGGUAUUUCUGUAAAGAUGAGAAGGCUAUUCUGUAACUGUGGCUAUAAAAUCUUAACGAGGAAUUGAAGUGAAUGACAAACUUAUGUAUGUAAUGUUUGAUAAAAAGAUAUGGCAGGAUGGUGUAAUUAAGCCACGAUGGUCAAACAUAAAUCGAAGGUGGGCAAAUGAUCGACAAUCACAUUAGUGAAAGCCAAUUUGUAGAGUUAUCUACAUUUGUAAAUAGUUGUUAGAAAACUAAUUAUGUGAUUAGUAUGAUUGUUAUUGUAGUUACAUGUUAAUUAUCUUUGUAUUUAAGCCACCCUUAUGUCUUCAUUUCUUAAGUAAUGAAAAUGUUUGGUUUCACAAGUUC